GGACCUGUGGCUUAGUGGUAUGGCGUUACCUUGACGUGGUAAAGAUCCCCAGUUUGAUCCUGGGCGGGUCCA
rnacentral:tRNA from 1 species